GAUGAAGAACGUAGCGAAAUGCGAUAAGUAAUGCGAAUUGCAGAAUUCAGUGAGUCAUCGAAUCUUUGAACGCACAUUGCGCCCUGUGGUAUUCCGCAGGGCGUGCCUGUUCGAGCGUCAUUUCAACCCUCAAGCUCUGCUUGGUGUUGGGCCCUGCCCGCUGCGGCCGGCCCUAAAGACAGUGGCGGUGCCGCCUGGCCCUGAGCGUAGUACAUCUCUCGCUCCAGUGCCCGGUGGUAGCCUGCCAGAACCCCAACUCUCGUGGUUGACCUCGGAUCAGGUAGGGAUACCCGCUGAACUUAAGCAUAUCAAUAAGCGGAGGA
rnacentral:misc_RNA from 1 species